GACAGAGGGUGCGAACGUUGUUCGGAAUUACUGGGCGUAAAGCGCGUGUAGGCGGCCACGCAAGUCGGGUGUGAAAUCCCGGGGCUCAACCCCGGAAGUGCACUCGAAACUGCAUGGCUGGAGUCUCGGAGAGGAAGGCGGAAUUCUAGGUGUAGAGGUGAAAUUCGUAGAUAUCUAGAGGAACACCGGUGGCGAAGGCGGCCUUCUGGACGAGCACUGACGCUGAGACGCGAAAGCGUGGGGAGCAAACAGGAUUAGAUACCCUGGUAGUCCACGCUGUAAACGAUGAGUGCUAGAUGUCGCGGGCAUUGACCCCCGCGGUGUCGUAGCUAACGCAUUAAGCACUCCGCCUGGGGAGUACGGCCGCAAGGCUAAA
rnacentral:rRNA from 1 species